CCUACGGGCGGUAGCAGUGGGGAAUAUUGCACAAUGGGCGCAAGCCUGAUGCAGCCAUGCCGCGUGUGUGAAGAAGGCCUUCGGGUUGUAAAGCACUUUCAGCGGGGAGGAAGGCGUUAAGGUUAAUAACCUUGGCGAUUGACGUUACCCGCAGAAGAAGCACCGGCUAACUCCGUGCCAGCAGCCGCGGUAAUACGGAGGGUGCAAGCGUUAAUCGGAAUUACUGGGCGUAAAGCGCACGCAGGCGGUCUGUCAAGUCGGAUGUGAAAUCCCCGGGCUCAACCUGGGAACUGCAUUCGAAACUGGCAGGCUAGAGUCUUGUAGAGGGGGGUAGAAUUCCAGGUGUAGCGGUGAAAUGCGUAGAGAUCUGGAGGAAUACCGGUGGCGAAGGCGGCCCCCUGGACAAAGACUGACGCUCAGGUGCGAAAGCGUGGGGAGCAAACAGGAUUAGAUACCUGGUAGUC
rnacentral:rRNA from 1 species